rnacentral:rRNA from 1 species
AAGGGAGCUUGCUCCCGGAUGUUAGCGGCGGACGGGUGAGUAACACGUGGGUAACCUGCCUGUAAGACUGGGAUAACUCCGGGAAACCGGAGCUAAUACCGGAUAGUUCCUUGAACCGCAUGGUUCAAGGAUGAAAGACGGUUUCGGCUGUCACUUACAGAUGGACCCGCGGCGCAUUAGCUAGUUGGUGAGGUAACGGCUCACCAAGGCGACGAUGCGUAGCCGACCUGAGAGGGUGAUCGGCCACACUGGGACUGAGACACGGCCCAGACUCCUACGGGAGGCAGCAGUAGGGAAUCUUCCGCAAUGGACGAAAGUCUGACGGAGCAACGCCGCGUGAGUGAUGAAGGUUUUCGGAUCGUAAAGCUCUGUUGUUAGGGAAGAACAAGUGCAAGAGUAACUGCUUGCACCUUGACGGUACCUAACCAGAAAGCCACGGCUAACUACGUGCCAGCAGCCGCGGUAAUACGUAGGUGGCAAGCGUUGUCCGGAAUUAUUGGGCGUAAAGGGCUCGCAGGCGGUUUCUUAAGUCUGAUGUGAAAGCCCCCGGCUCAACCGGGGAGGGUCAUUGGAAACUGGGAAACUUGAGUGCAGAAGAGGAGAGUGGAAUUCCACGUGUAGCGGUGAAAUGCGUAGAGAUGUGGAGGAACACCAGUGGCGAAGGCGACUCUCUGGUCUGUAACUGACGCUGAGGAGCGAAAGCGUGGGGAGCGAACAGGAUUAGAUACCCUGGUAGUCCACGCCGUAAACGAUGAGUGCUAAGUGUUAGGGGGUUUCCGCCCCUUAGUGCUGCAGCUAACGCAUUAAGCACUCCGCCUGGGGAGUACGGUCGCAAGACUGAAACUCAAAGGAAUUGACGGGGGCCCGCACAAGCGGUGGAGCAUGUGGUUUAAUUCGAAGCAACGCGAAGAACCUUACCAGGUCUUGACAUCCUCUGACAACCCUAGAGAUAGGGCUUUCCCUUCGGGGACAGAGUGACAGGUGGUGCAUGGUUGUCGUCAGCUCGUGUCGUGAGAUGUUGGGUUAAGUCCCGCAACGAGCGCAACCCUUGAUCUUAGUUGCCAGCAUUCAGUUGGGCACUCUAAGGUGACUGCCGGUGACAAACCGGAGGAAGGUGGGGAUGACGUCAAAUCAUCAUGCCCCUUAUGACCUGGGCUACACACGUGCUACAAUGGACAGAACAAAGGGCUGCGAGACCGCAAGGUUUAGCCAAUCCCACAAAUCUGUUCUCAGUUCGGAUCGCAGUCUGCAACUCGA